AGGAUAAACGCUGGCGGCGUGCUUAACACAUGCAAGUCGAACGGUGAAGUGAGGAGCUUGCUCCUUGCGGAUCAGUGGCGAACGGGUGAGUAACACGUGAGUAACCUGCCCUUGACUCUGGGAUAAGCACUGGAAACGGUGUCUAAUACCGGAUACGACCUCCGAAGGCAUCUUCUGGAAGUGGAAAGAAUUUCGGUCAAGGAUGGACUCGCGGCCUAUCAGCUAGUUGGUGAGGUAACGGCCCACCAAGGCGACGACGGGUAGCCGGCCUGAGAGGGUGACCGGCCACACUGGGACUGAGACACGGCCCAGACUCCUACGGGAGGCAGCAGUGGGGAAUAUUGCACAAUGGGCGCAAGCCUGAUGCAGCAACGCCGCGUGAGGGACGACGGCCUUCGGGUUGUAAACCUCUUUAGUAGGGAAGAAGCGAAAGUGACGGUACCUGCAGAAAAGCACCGGCUAACUACGUGCCAGCAGCCGCGGU
rnacentral:rRNA from 1 species